rnacentral:rRNA from 1 species
GAUGAACGCUGGCGGCGUGCCUAAUACAUGCAAGUCGAGCGAACGGACGAGAAGCUUGCUUCUCUGAUGUUAGCGGCGGACGGGUGAGUAACACGUGGAUAACCUGCCUAUAAGACUGGGAUAACUUCGUGAAACCGGAGCUACUACCGGAUAAUAUUUUGAACCGCAUGGUUCAAAAGUGAAAGACGGUCUUGCUGUCACUUAUAGAUGGAUCCGCGCUGCAUUAGCUAGUUGGUAAGGUAACGGCUUACCAAGGCAACGAUGCAUAGCCGACCUGAGAGGGUGAUCGGCCACACUGGAACUGAGACACGGUCCAGACUCCUACGGGAGGCAGCAGUAGGGAAUCUUCCGCAAUGGGCGAAAGCCUGACGGAGCAACGCCGCGUGAGUGAUGAAGGUCUUCGGAUCGUAAAACUCUGUUAUUAGGGAAGAACAUAUGUGUAAGUAACUGUGCACAUCUUGACGGUACCUAAUCAGAAAGCCACGGCUAACUACGUG